CCGGACCGGCGCACGGGUGAGUAACACGUAUGCAAUCCACCUGUAACAGGGGGGAUAACCCGGAGAAAUCCGGACUAAUACCCCAUAAUAUGGGCUCUCCGCAUGGAGGGUCCAUUAAAGAGAGCAAUUUUGGUUACAGACGAGCAUGCGCUCCAUUAGCCAGUUGGCGGGGUAACGGCCCACCAAAGCGACGAUGGAUAGGGGUUCUGAGAGGAAGGUCCCCCACAUUGGAACUGAGACACGGUCCAA
rnacentral:rRNA from 1 species